GCCAACCUUGAAAUACCACCCUUUAAUGUUUGAUGUUCUAACGUUGCCCCAUUAUCUGGGGUGCGGACAGUGUCUGGUGGGUAGUUUGACUGGGGCGGUCUCCUCCCAAAGAGUAACGGAGGAGCACGAAGGUUGGCUAAGCAUGGUCGGACAUCAUGCGGUUAGUGCAAAGGCAUAAGCCAGCUUGACUGCGAGAGUGACGGCUCGAGCAGGUACGAAAGUAGGUCUUAGUGAUCCGGUGGUUCUGAAUGGAAGGGCCAUCGCUCAACGGAUAAAAGGUACUCCGGGGAUAACAGGCUGAUACCGCCCAAGAGUUCAUAUCGACGGCGGUGUUUGGCACCUCGAUGUCGGCUCAUCACAUCCUGGGGCUGAAGUAGGUCCCAAGGGUACGGCUGUUCGCCGUUUAAAGUGGUACGCGAGCUGGGUUUAGAACGUCGUGAGACAGUUCGGUCCCUAUCUGCCGUGGGCGUUGGAAGAUUGAAAGGGGCUGCUCCUAGUACGAGAGGACCGGAGUGGACGCACCACUGGUGUUCGGGUUGUCAUGCCAAUGGCAUUGCCCGGUAGCUAAGUGCGGAAGAGAUAACCGCUGAAAGCAUCUAAGCGGGAAACUUGCC
rnacentral:rRNA from 1 species